GAAGUGAAAUACAGAUCUAAGAGGAGACAGAGAGAUUCAGGGAGGAGCUAAGAUGUUCCUGAACUAUAGAAGAGAGAGGAACUUCCAUAUUCACCAGAGUUCAACACAGACCAUCAUCAUCACCUUCAUUCAACAUGCUCUCCCUGCAGAACUCAGCAUUUUCUCUGAUAUUGUUUGCAAUCUUAUCAGGCGUCAGCUGUGAAGAUCUGUCUCCAGUCAAAACAGAAGAGUUCAGUCCAGAAGGCAGCACUGUUACUCUGUCCUACAGAUACUCCAAAGAAGCAACUGGUAAUGAUUAUUUCUUCUGGUAUCGACAAUAUCCAGGAAAACCACCAGAGUUCAUCUUCUCUCAUUUAGGAACUGGAGACAUUAUGUUGAAUCCAGUUUCUGGACUGUCUGCUGAAGUGAGUGAGGAUAAAACCCAGAUCUAUCUGAGCAUCUCCUCUGCUGCAGUGACAGACUCUGCUGUGUACUACUGUGCUGUUGAGGAAGAGGUUGUUAUUUUGGUACCACAGGGCCAGCUGGUUCACUUCCUUCCUGUAGUUAGUCUCAUCGUUGUGGCUGAUGAGACUAACUACAGUUGA